rnacentral:rRNA from 1 species
UGGGGAAUCUUGGACAAUGGGGGCAACCCUGAUCCAGCGAUGCCGCGUGGGUGAAGAAGGCCUUCGGGUUGUAAAGCCCUUUAGGUUGGGAAGAAAGGUAUAGGGUGAAUAGCCUUAUAUUUUGACGGUACCGACAGAAUAAGCACCGGCAAACUCUGUGCCAGCAGCCGCGGUAAUACAGAGGGUGCGAGCGUUAAUCGGAAUUACUGGGCGUAAAGGGCGCGUAGGCGGUUAGAUAGGUGGAAUGUGAAAGCCCUGGGCUUAACCUAGGAAGUGCAUACCAAACGAUCUAACUGGAGUAUAGGAGAGGGUGGCGGAAUUUCCGGUGUAGCGGUGAAAUGCGUAGAGAUCGGAAGGAACGUCGAUGGCGAAGGCAGCCACCUGGCCUAAUACUGACGCUGAGGCGCGAAAGCGUGGGGAGCGAACAG